CGAAUUGAAAGACAGAAACACAAAAUUCUAGCUCCCGCUCAGGAGUCAGCAUUGACAAAGGAGCACUUUUUAUUUAAGAUCGUCUGACGAAGGCACACCCCACCACAUGUAGGCAGGGAAGACGCGCAGCCACCUGCAAAGGCCGCCUCCUUCUUUGGAUACAGGACGGCCAAGCAAGCAGGGAGCGAGGCGAGUGUCUCUUGUUCGGAGUUGUAGAAGGGGAAAGACUUUCUGAGCAGGCCCCUCGCACGCCACGACACACCCAGAAUUCAGAGCUCCUUGUGAUUCCUGUUCCUGCUUCUUCCUAUGUGAAAGUGGCAGUAAUGCAAACACAGCCUAAAACUAUUUCCAGUGUCAGUACUGUAUACAAGAUCCAAACAAGUAGUACCUUCAAACCAUCAUGAAUCUUUCAAAUCCAGAAUGUCAUACUGGAUGAACACAUCUAGAAAAAAGCUUGCUUCAAGUACCAAAUUUUGUCAAUCAGGAUAUCUGGCAAACCCCAAGAGGAAGGAGGUCCCUGAAGAAAAUGUCAUCUGUAAAAUUGCUUUGCAAAAUUGUCAAGCAUCACAGCAUGACAAUAUACACAGCAUCACUGAAGGGAGAAAAGACAUAAUCAAGAGCCACAAGAGAAGUGUUCAUGCUAAAGCACUCCUGGAAUUGGGGCUAUGGUGCCUAAGGCGUCAGGAAAUUAAUAUCACGUGAUCCAGUUUUGUUUUGAGCAUGCUCAGUGCACAACCCUAUUUGAUGAGCUCCAGUCACAGGGAAAAGAACCCUUCAUGGUGCCUUCACCAUCUGAAAGAGGUGGAACCAAGUGGCAACCAGGGAAAGUUCCUUCCUGAUGAUGGUACCCCAGAAAGUGCUGCUAUCUCUCUGCAAAAAUCUGUCCACGAAAAAAUGUCAAACAUUCCACUUUCUAUGAGGAAAAACCUUAAAUGUGAACGGAGGAAGGUGGAAUUAUAAGAAACUGCUCUAUUGGGUCCACUUGCCCUGUAUUUGGUCGGUCCCAUAAUGAGUGCCACAGCCCAGGAGUGAAACGUCUGUUGUGAGCCAGAUAGAGGGAGUUGUCGUUAGAAAAAGGAACCCCUUCCAGUAGAUUCCUGCUCAGCGACCACCAGGGUGCCAUCAGAUGUAACAGUCUCUGAAUGAGUCAAGCAGGCUGAGAUGGAUGCUGCUGGACACGGAGCACCAAGUCCUUGAUGCAUUCGAAACGUUCUUGAGUAGUCCAGGCCAGGCGUUUUAGAGGCUUCGCUUUAUCAGUACGCUCAUCGACGUUGGAUAACACGGUGCUUAUGUUUCGACAUCAACGUCGAAGACUUUCCCGAAGUCGAGGAGCUGUGCCCAGCUUUCAACGUCGAAGGACGGUCCGAUGUCGAGGCAUGUCUGUGAGACGCCAAACGCGUUAAGGUCGAGGAUUUCGAUUUCAAAUGAGAAGGCGUCAAAGCAGGUUUCGGAGGAGUCUUCGACAUUGAAGGACGGGGUGUGCCCGGUGUCGAGGGACUUAACACCUCGUCAUAAAUUGCCACUCUGAGGCGGAGUGCCCGAUUCUUCCGCAUUUGCUUGGAAAACGAAAGACAUAUCUUGCAAGAGGAGACAUUAUGCUCCUCACCCAAGCAAAUUAGGCACAAGCCAUGAAGGUCUUUUGAGGGGAGUUUAGCACUCCAGCCCUCACACCUCUUAAAAGACUUUUUCUCUUCAUCCAUUCCGGUGAGUGAGAGGGGUAGUCAAGUCCGUUCUAUGGGUCAAAGCCAGUCGAAGGUUGUAAGCCGGUCCGAGUGAGAAGUUUAGAAUUAUCGUCAGCCAGAAAUAGGUCAUACACUAAAGUAUAUAUAUAUAUAUAAAUAAAAACUCAUGAGGAACUUUCCGACGGAGAGGCGGCAGACCGAGGUUCAAACGCAAAGGCGGUCGGAAAAGAACUGAGGAACAUGGUGCCCAGCCCGCUCUUAAAUACCACGCUCUGCGUGGGGGCGUGGCUUGGACGCCUCAACAAGCUGAGGCAUGGCUACCACAAGGUUUCCUGUGCAGGCACAGAACCCAUUCUUAUGGCUGUCGACGAAUCUCAAUCCAGAUUUUCCCCUUCUCUCCCUAAUUCCCCCUUCCUUUCCCUCAGUGCAUGUGAGUGCUUGUGGUACCAUCAGCAUAGGCUUGGAAAUUUGGUUAGAUCUUUUACUAGUAAAGUUGAGGAGGGUGGUCAACUCCUCCCCUGGUUUAAAAGGUAGCCCUAGAUUGUCGCAAGCCCAUGAUGUCACGGGCUUGUGACAAUAUCUCCACUGUGCAGGCAUGCCAAACGGCAGACCCUACAUCGCUCUGGGAGCCGCCACCACUGGAGGGGGUGGGAUGGAGAAGGACUACCCCUGGUUCACCUCCUGGAAGCCAUCCCUCAGCCACGCGGUAGCAGAAACCUAAAAGCAAAAGCAUGGAGAUUUCGCAGGUCGAGGUGGCUCAUCUCAUAAAGCCUGCACUCCCCCCUUCCCCUCACCACCAAGCCUCCUGCCCCAUCCUUUCCCUCUUUCUUUUCCCUUCUCCAUUUUCUCUCUCUCUAGCCAAGCCCCAUCCUUCCCCCCUCUCCAUUCUCUCUCUCUCAAGCCAAGCCUCCGGUCUCAUCCUUUCUUUCCCCCUCUCCCUUCUGAUCAAAGUGUAUUCUUAUCCAAAAGUAUGAGAAAAACUUCUCUAUUUUUUUCUUUUCUUACAAGUGCUCCAUGUUAACUGUGAGAUUUGGCAGAGGUGGAAAGGAAGAACAAUGCAUUUUAUUAUGUAUACUGUACAGACUGUAUUGUAUUUAUUUUAUUAGGAUGAAUUUUAAUUCAAAAUUUGGCAGGUUUAAGUAAUGGUGCUCACAAACAUCACGGACUCUUAAUAAACCGAUGUACCAAACAAACAAAACACAGUCCCAAAGCAAGAGGAAAAAAUACAUAAAUAAUAAAAGAUGUACUGUAUUUACAAUGGAAGAAAAUAAAACAAAAUUUAAAGUUAAAAAGAUAAGUGAAAAACAGUUAUGGACCAUACAGAGGUUUUAUUAUACCUCUGCAAGGUCCGAAAAGAGUGCCUGGCUUGUGCUACGUCUUAGAGUAUCCCAAUAGCUUCUUGGAAGAAGAUCCUCUCCUUCUGUUUUAAGUACCUGUAGAAU